rnacentral:rRNA from 1 species
AGCGUACACGGUGGAUGCCCUGGCAGUCAGAGGCGAUGAAGGACGUGCUAAUCUGCGAAAAGCGUCGGUAAGGUGAUAUGAACCGUUAUAACCGGCGAUGUCCGAAUGGGGAAACCCAGUGUGAUUCGUCACACUAUCGUUAACUGAAUACAUAGGUUAACGAGGCGAACCGGGGGAACUGAAACAUCUAAGUACCCCGAGGAAAAGAAAUCAACCGAGAUUCCCCCAGUAGCGGCGAGCGAACGGGGAGCAGCCCAGAGUCUGAAUCAGCUUGUGUGUUAGUGGAACGGUCUGGAAAGUCCGACGGUACAGGGUGAUAGUCCCGUACACCAAAAUGCACAGGCUGUGAACUCGAAGAGUAGGGCGGGACACGUGGUAUCCUGUCUGAAUAUGGGGGGACCAUCCUCCAAGGCUAAAUACUCCUGACUGACCGAUAGUGAACCAGUACCGUGAGGGAAAGGCGAAAAGAACCCCGGCGAGGGGAGUGAAAAAGAACCUGAAACCGUGUACGUACAAGCAGUGGGAGCACCUUCGGGUGUGACUGCGUACCUUUUGUAUAAUGGGUCAGCGACUUAUAUUCUGUAGCAAGGUUAACCGUAUAGGGGAGCCGCAGGGAAACCGAGUCUUAACUGGGCGUUAAGUUGCAGGGUAUAGACCCGAAACCCGGUGAUCUAGCCAUGGGCAGGUUGAAGGUUGGGUAACACUAACUGGAGGACCGAACCGACUAAUGUUGAAAAAUUAGCGGAUGACUUGUGGCUGGGGGUGAAAGGCCAAUCAAACCGGGAGAUAGCUGGUUCUCCCCGAAAGCUAUUUAGGUAGCGCCUCGUGAACUCAUCUUCGGGGGUAGAGCACUGUUUCGGCUAGGGGGUCAUCCCGACUUACCAACCCGAUGCAAACUACGAAUACCGAAGAAUGUUAUCACGGGAGACACACGGCGGGUGCUAACGUCCGUCGUGAAGAGGGAAACAACCCAGACCGCCAGCUAAGGUCCCAAAGUCAUGGUUAAGUGGGAAACGAUGUGGGAAGGCACAGACAGCCAGGAUGUUGGCUUAGAAGCAGCCAUCAUUUAAAGAAAGCGUAAUAGCUCACUGGUCGAGUCGGCCUGCGCGGAAGAUGUAACGGGGCUAAACCAUGCACCGAAGCUGCGGCAGCGACACUAUGUGUUGUUGGGUAGGGGAGCGUUCUGUAAGCCUGCGAAGGUGUGCUGUGAGGCAUGCUGGAGGUAUCAGAAGUGCGAAUGCUGACAUAAGUAACGAUAAAGCGGGUGAAAAGCCCGCUCGCCGGAAGACCAAGGGUUCCUGUCCAACGUUAAUCGGGGCAGGGUGAGUCGACCCCUAAGGCGAGGCCGAAAGGCGUAGUCGAUGGGAAACAGGUUAAUAUUCCUGUACUUGGUGUUACUGCGAAGGGGGGACGGAGAAGGCUAUGUUAGCCGGGCGACGGUUGUCCCGGUUUAAGCAUGUAGGCUGGUUAUCCAGGCAAAUCCGGAUAAUCAAGGCUGAGGUGUGAUGACGAGGCACUACGGUGCUGAAGUAACAAAUGCCCUGCUUCCAGGAAAAGCCUCUAAGCAUCAGGUAACAUCAAAUCGUACCCCAAACCGACACAGGUGGUCAGGUAGAGAAUACCAAGGCGCUUGAGAGAACUCGGGUGAAGGAACUAGGCAAAAUGGUGCCGUAACUUCGGGAGAAGGCACGCUGGUGUGUAGGUGAAGUCCCUGCGGAUGGAGCUGAGACCAGUCGAAGAUACCAGCUGGCUGCAACUGUUUAUUAAAAACACAGCACUGUGCAAACACGAAAGUGGACGUAUACGGUGUGACGCCUGCCCGGUGCCGGAAGGUUAAUUGAUGGGGUUAUCCGUAAGGAGAAGCUCUUGAUCGAAGCCCCGGUAAACGGCGGCCGUAACUAUAACGGUCCUAAGGUAGCGAAAUUCCUUGUCGGGUAAGUUCCGACCUGCACGAAUGGCGUAAUGAUGGCCAGGCUGUCUCCACCCGAGACUCAGUGAAAUUGAACUCGCUGUGAAGAUGCAGUGUACCCGCGGCAAGACGGAAAGACCCCGUGAACCUUUACUAUAGCUUGACACUGAACAUUGAGCCUUGAUGUGUAGGAUAGGUGGGAGGCUUUGAAGCGUGGACGCCAGUCUGCGUGGAGCCAACCUUGAAAUACCACCCUUUAAUGUUUGAUGUUCUAACGUUGGCCCCUGACCGGGGUUGCGGACAGUGUCUGGUGGGUAGUUUGACUGGGGCGGUCUCCUCCCAAAGCGUAACGGAGGAGCACGAAGGUUAGCUAAUCCUGGUCGGACAUCAGGAGGUUAGUGCAAUGGCAUAAGCUAGCUUGACUGCGAGCGUGACGGCGCGAGCAGGUGCGAAAGCAGGUCAUAGUGAUCCGGUGGUUCUGAAUGGAAGGGCCAUCGCUCAACGGAUAAAAGGUACUCCGGGGAUAACAGGCUGAUACCGCCCAAGAGUUCAUAUCGACGGCGGUGUUUGGCACCUCGAUGUCGGCUCAUCACAUCCUGGGGCUGAAGUAGGUCCCAAGGGUAUGGCUGUUCGCCAUUUAAAGUGGUACGCGAGCUGGGUUUAGAACGUCGUGAGACAGUUCGGUCCCUAUCUGCCG